UGAUGACCGGCGUCAUUACUUGAGAAAAUCUAAUUCACUCAACCCAUCUUUUACUCGUCAUCGCCGUCUCCUCUCCCCCUCUUCACCUUCUUCUUUGAAACUCAUUUUCUCUUCUUAUUCUCUCUUUUUCUUUCUUCUUUUUCGUUCUUCUUUUCUGCUCUUCUUCAGUUGAAAAUCGAGAGGUCAAAUUGAGGUAUGGCUUGAAGAAAUUUAUAUCGUGAGGAUAUAUAAAAGAAACAGGAGUUGGUGUUUCCGCUAAUUAUGAAGAAUAGGAUUGAGUCCUGUUAUGAAUCGAGAACUAGGGUUUCCUCAGUGAAUCGGUAAUUGAGUUAGAAAUUGAGAAAUUAAAGUGGGUUUGGUGAAAACAGUAUGAUGAGGAAGAAAUUAGUGAUUGAUGUGCGAGUUUUAAUGAAGAUUAGAGAAGCUAGGGUUUCUGUUCUUUCCCAAUAUAGAUAUUAGGGUUCUUGGAUGUAAUUGAAUCAAGUGACUGAAACUGAAAUUGAGGUUUUAGGGGAAAGAUUAGAGAUGGGAAUGUUUGAUUUGAAAAAUUUGAGGCCGUGGUGGUGGUAGAGGCAGAGGAGGCAGCAAAGAAGGAGGUCGUGGUGGAAUGGAAGGUGGUAGUAAAGUGAUUGAGUACAGAGUCUAGAAUCCUUUUAGAUCAAAGCUUGCUGCUGCUGUACUUGGUGGUGUUGACAAUCUGAUUUCUCCAGAUUUGCUGAAACAGAUACUCAAGAUCAGCUAAAUUAAUCAAUCAGUGGUGGGAGAACAACAUAUUUCAAUUCAAUUAAAACAGCAUAAUGAUUUAUCUUAUCAAAACAAUUGCAUCACUUCUACUUGCGCCUCCGCCUGUAUCAGAAUAGCUAUUAUCACAACUACAUGCCGAACCGCAGCGGACAUCAAUUCCAUUAGCGGCAUCAUACCUGUAAACCCUCUUCCACUUCAAUGAUCGAGAUUGAUUUGAACAUUUUUCUUCAAUAAAUCUUUCAAGCAAACAAGUGACGAAAUCAGAAGACUAAUUGCACUUUGAGCAUCAACUAUCGGUGGUCUUGGACGGUGCCCUCUGCUCCAACGAUCAAAUAGACAUCAAACCUGCAGUUUCAGGAUUGACGGGGGGAAAUUGUAAGCUACAAUUCAAUGGCAUUAUGAAUCCUAUCAAAAAAAUUGGAUGUAUAAUUCUACCACUACCGCUUCCGGCGGCCGCCUCUUACACUUAUCACUAUUACCACAAAUACCACCAGCAUCACAACUCCCAUCAGCAACAUCUAUAGAUGCUCAAAGAAGAUUAGGUUGAUGAUCAUGCUGUAGAAAUUGAAAGGCCCCCUAAACACCAAAUUGGAAGCAAGAGGAGAAUCAUGUUUGGAUUUCGAGGGUGUUCUCUGCUUAUUUUUAAUAGUCAAAUAAAUAGAAAUUUCUUCGAUUGAUCUAAACACCAAAUUAAUUGCAGUUUCAGGCCAUGCCAACAGAUUUGAAUUGCAAGAUCCAGUUCUUGACUGUUUGAACUCGAGCAUCCAGUGCAUGUUGUCUUAGAGUAUUAGCUUAACUGAUACAAGGGUUCAUGUUCGCCCAAAAGAGAGGAUGGUUGAUGCUCAUGCUGUGGAAGAUGAUGUAGAUUUAGAGGGAAAUCAAGUUUGACUUUGAGGACUCUAUCUGUUUAAUGUCAUAAGCCAAAUACAAGUUGGUUAGCUUAAUCGAAACACCAAACUGCUGUUUAAGGGGAAGAUUUUUUGUUGAUGUUCUGUUCAUGGUACUUCUGGUGAUGAAGAAAUGGAUGACAUGAUGGGUGCUGGUUGUGUAUUCUGUAGGCUUUUGGUUUGAGGUUAUUGCACUGAAUUGCUGAGAGCUUCGCACAGGUGGAAUGGCUGAAUAAGUUGCAUCUAGAGACUCACAACAAGAGAAGAUGAUGGCGUGCUGAGCAGUUGAGGAUUAUUGGUGCUGAUUCUGUAGUAGCUAGGAUUGUUGGGUAUCCUUCUACUUUUGCAGCCUAAACUUUGACAACAAAACCAGAUCUAGAAAAUACGGUAUCAGGUCGCAACAGUAUGAAUCUUAGUGAGUUUCAGAAGAAGCAUGAUGUAGCCUUCAAAGCUUUAAGUAUUUGGUAAGAAGAAGCAUGAUGUAGCCUUUGAACUUAAAGUAUGUUAAAGAGCUUGUAAUUUUUUUUUUAAAGAAAUGAGAUUGUAUUUUCAUUUAAUUUUUGUAAAAUGAGAUUGUAAUUUUCCUGAUUAACAAUUGUUGUUGUAAAUUGAAUUUAAUGAUAAUAAAUUAAAUUAAUUUUGCAUUUA